UGUUGGUGCGGAUUCACCUUUAAGGUGAGUGGUGGGCGGCACCAACGUACCCUUUAAAGCCAGGUGUGUGGGGUGCGCACUCACAUACAAUUGUUUUGAGCUGUGGAGAUGGCGUUGUGAGCUUGUGUGAUCCUGUCUUUCCUCAAGCAUCAAGUAAUGGUCUUCAGGAUUGAGGUUGUGCUGGUGCUCCCGUUUUGCUCUCUGGGAGUGCGUGUGAUCAGGCACGCGUCGUGGGCGUGGAGCUCUUAACCGAGAUCCUAAGGUGUUCGGGGCUUGGCUGUGGACUGUUGUGUGGUUCCCCCCUCCCUCCUCCUGCCGCUUACUGGUGCGCGCACCUGGCCUAAUUGUCCUUGGCGCAACGGGAGCACGGCCACGCCAACGCCGUUGUUUUGUCUUUACUUUUGCUUCAUGCCUUUUCAGCUGGGUGUCAUUUACCAUCCAUCCAUCCA